UACGAAGGGGACUAGCGUUGUUCGGAAUUACUGGGCGUAAAGCGCACGUAGGCGGAUUUGUAAGUCAGGGGUGAAAUCCCGGGGCUCAACCUCGGAACUGCCUUUGAUACUGCAAAUCUCGAGUCCGAUAGAGGUGGGUGGAAUUCCUAGUGUAGAGGUGAAAUUCGUAGAUAUUAGGAAGAACACCAGUGGCGAAGGCGGCGCAGUGGACCGGUAGUGACGCUGAGGUGCGAAAGCGUGGGGAGCAAACAGG
rnacentral:rRNA from 1 species